GAUGAACGCUGGCGGCGUGCCUAAUACAUGCAAGUCGAGCGAACAGACGAGGAGCUUGCUCCUCUGACGUUAGCGGCGGACGGGUGAGUAACACGUGGAUAACCUACCUAUAAGACUGGGAUAACUUCGGGAAACCGGAGCUAAUACCGGAUAAUAUAUUGAACCGCACGGUUCAAUAGUGAAAGACGGUUUUGCUGUCACUUAUAGAUGGAUCCGCGCCGCAUUAGCUAGUUGGUAAGGUAACGGCUUACCAAGGCAACGAUGCGUAGCCGACCUGAGAGGGUGAUCGGCCACACUGGAACUGAGACACGGCCCAGACUCCUACGGGAGGCAGCAGUAGGGAAUCUUCCGCAAUGGGCGAAAGCCUGACGGAGCAACGCCGCGUGAGUGAUGAAGGUCUUCGGAUCGUAAAACUCUGUUAUUAGGGAAGAACAAAUGUGUAAGUAACUAUGCACGUCUUGACGGUACCUAAUCAGAAAGCCACGGCUAACUACGUG
rnacentral:rRNA from 1 species